AUUGAACGCUGGCGGCAUGCCUUACACAUGCAAGUCGAACGGUAACAGGUCUUCGGAUGCUGACGAGUGGCGAACGGGUGAGUAAUACAUCGGAACGUGCCUAGUAGUGGGGGAUAACUACUCGAAAGAGUGGCUAAUACCGCAUGAGAUCUACGGAUGAAAGCAGGGGAUCGCAAGACCUUGUGCUACUAGAGCGGCCGAUGGCAGAUUAGGUAGUUGGUGGGAUAAAAGCUUACCAAGCCGACGAUCUGUAGCUGGUCUGAGAGGACGAUCAGCCACACUGGGACUGAGACACGGCCCAGACUCCUACGGGAGGCAGCAGUGGGGAAUUUUGGACAAUGGGCGCAAGCCUGAUCCAGCAAUGCCGCGUGCAGGAUGAAGGCCUUCGGGUUGUAAACUGCUUUUGUACGGAACGAAAAGCCCUGGAUUAAUACCCUGGGGUCAUGACGGUACCGUAAGAAUAAGCACCGGCUAACUACGUGCCAGCAGCCGCCGUAAAAC
rnacentral:rRNA from 1 species